rnacentral:rRNA from 1 species
GUGAGGAAUAUUGGUCAAUGGGCGAAAGCCUGAACCAGCCAUGUCGCGUGAAGGAUGAAGGUCCUAUGGAUUGUAAACUUCUUUUGCAGGAGGGUAAAGUGAGCUACGUGUAGUUCAUUGCAAGUACCCUGCGAAUAAGCAUCGGCUAACUCCGUGCCAGCAGCCGCGGUAAUACGGAGGAUGCGAGCGUUAUCCGGAUUUAUUGGGUUUAAAGGGUGCGUAGGCGGACUAAUUAGUCAGCGGUGAAAUUUUGCGGCUCAACCGUAAAACCGCCGUUGAAACUGUUAGUCUUGAGUGCGGUAGAGGUAGGCGGAAUGUGUGGUGUAGCGGUGAAAUGCUUAGAUAUCACACAGAACACCGAUUGCGUAGGCAGCUUACUGGAGCGCAACUGACGCUGAGGCACGAAAGCGUGGGGAUCGAACAGGAUUAGAAACCCUGGUAGUCC